rnacentral:tRNA from 1 species
GGCGCAGUACCUAAGCGGUCAUAAAGGCGCAGUCUUGAAAACUGUUGAGGGCGUAUAGCCCACGGGGGUUCGAAUCCCUCCUGCGCCG